UCGAUCUCUACAGAUAGUCCACUCGAAGUCUUGAUCUGAUCGGUCUCCUCAGAAAUGCUUGCUCGCACGAAAAUCAUCUUGUUGGCUGAUCUGAAUUUCUUCUUCAAAUCUCUCGAAUCUUUUCAGAGGUUGAAGAAGGACAUCUAGAGAAGAUAAGGAUGAGGAAGAAGUAUGGAGAGGAGACACUCUUCUCUCUUCUUUUUCUCUCUUCCCAAAUCUUUAAGGACAAAUCCUAGGAUUUUUAUGUUUCGCUCACCCCAAGAUGAGAGGGCUCUCCUCUUUCUUUUUCACACCAUGAUAUCACACCCCAAACUCCUCACCAUGGAGAGCUAUUUCUAAUGUCUCUUACAUGCGCAAAAAGGAAGAAGUUCCUUUUAUUUGGUGUCCACAAGAGGUUGGGUUAGAAAAGUCCAAUAGAUGUUGGACUCUACAUGAGUUGUCACCCCCUCUCAUAGUUCCAUGCCAAAGAAUAUUGUGACGCCCAAAACCAUCUUUCUUUCUCACAGUAAAUCAGAUCUCAUCUAAUUCCCCACACUAAAAAUAUUCCUCCUUUUCUCACACAAAAGAAAGAGAAUUAAAAGAAGUGGGUGGCAAGGUUUAUGGAUAAGGUCAAACCUUAUCCAUAUAUGGUAGUCCAUUCAAAUCAAAUUUGAACCUGCCUUUAAAGAUCAGAUUUUAUCUAUCUUUGGAUGUGAAAAAGGGAGGGCGGAAGAUCUUUUUGAGUGGAGAAAACUUCACACAAAACUCUUUUUGGCGUGAUGAGAAGUGGCGUCCAAUAUUUGGGAAGAGUCCAUCACUACAUGGACUCUAGGAUUCCUUAUUUGAUUCAAACCAAAUUAUAUUUGGUUAAAUCCAAAUAAAUAGACGAAACCCAAUCUAAUUAAAUUAAUGAAUCUUUUAUCAAAUCCUAAUCUAAUUAGAAAUUGAUUAAACCAAAAUUCUAAUCAAAUCAAAGAUAAUUAUCCCUUCACGAUUCGGUCAUCUCAUAACCUAAUUGGGUCAAACCUAAUUGAAUCAAAUUCAAUUAGAUUUUAUCUAAUCCUCUUUGCUCAAUCAAAUUGAGCUAAUCAAUAAUCUAAUUGCUAAUUAAUCCUCCACUAAUUCACUAAAUCUUAGCGAAUAAAUUUAUUAUAACUUUUGCAUAAGAAUAACCAUCAAUCGAAUUGGCGAUUAAACCCUUAAACAAUUCUCAAUCAUUGAUCAACCACAUGAUCAGUCAAAAAUUAUUUUUGAAUAUUACCUCGUAAAUUCGAACCUAAGUCGAUAGCACAGGAAUAAAUUUCAGAACUAAUCAAUAUAACCAUCUAACAAUGAGACCCGAUAUUCGAAUAGGUCGAAUGAUGAUGAAGCAACAUUCAAGAACCUAUUGGCAUAUGGUUAUCGUAUAAUUCAUCAUUUUGAUCCUAAUGCUCAAGGAUGACCUAGGAUUUAACUGUUAAUCCUGAAUUAGACAUCCACAUUAUAUAUCAAUCUUUCAAAUCCAUCACAUGGAUUAUCUGGGCCUAGAUUUUACUAAAUUGAAAUACAUUGAUACAUUAACUCCUACUUAUUUGGAGAGAUCAAUUCCAUCUUGACUCCGCACCGACUUAAUAAAUACUUGACUGUUUUCAAAAACUUUCUGUCACUGAAUUAAAAAUUCAGAUAGUCCAGCACCAAAGUACGGUAAGUUGCUUGCAAGUCACUGUGGCGAUCUCAGGUCGGAGGGAUACUAAUAUCCAUAUCCUUCGCGAGCUACUCUUAAUAGCAGAGUGCUCCAUAGUUGGUCACAUUCAGUGACGAUGUACUCCUACAUCUCAUCUACAUGCCAUACCAGUGUCUCCACACCAUUUGAUUACGAAGACAACCAAUGCAUACGGUACACAACGACCUACAUUUGAUAUCGCUAUCGUCCUAGUAAUAGCAUAUCGUUUGGUCGCAAUCCAAUUUAAGGAUUGCACGAUAAAUUCUUCUUUAUUAAUCAAAAUAGUCAUAAGGACUUCAUCACGACACAGGAGUUCAUUCGAAGAUGUAAUCUUGUGAUGAAAAAGAUCAAAUAACUUUUAUUGUUGAUCAAUUCAUAUACAUUUAUAAUUAGCACAAUCGUCAAACGAUUGAUUUUAGGACACAAUUCCUAACAAAUCUCAUUUGGACUAAAGCCAAUCAGUAUAGUAUCAUAUACCCAUCUUCGUUUUGUCAUCUUAGAACUCCUAGAUAUCGAGGCUUUAGUAAAUGGUUUGGUUAGGUUCUCCUUUCCGUCGAUUUUCUAAAGUUUGACAUCACUUUAACAGAUUUUCUGAAUAAGGUGGUAGCGAUGAAAAAUGCUUGAUAAGCUAAUAGGACUUGAGCUCCUUUGCAUGAGCUAUGGCUCCGAUGCUGUACAAUACAGCAUGACCAUCAUUGGAGGGUGCUGCUCCUAGCUUGCCAAUGAACCUCUACAAUUACAUAGCUUUCUUACAAGCAUCGAAUACUGUAAUACAUUCUGCCUCACAAAUUGAAUUGACCAUAUUGUUCUGCUUGAAACUUUUUCAGCAGAUUGCUCCAACUGCAGUCAUACUCUACAAGUUUUAAGCCAGAUUUUCAAUAACCGAGCCACCGAUCCUUAGUAUUUCUAAAAUACUUAAGGACGACCUUCCAAUGAUUCUCAUCCAAAUCUUAUAGAUAUCUACUCACUAUCCCUAUUGAGUAUAUCAUAUCCGAUUUCAUACAUGAUGUACAUGAUAAAACAAAUUCUACUCAUAAAUAUUCUAUGUACGUGAACUGGGAUAAUCCAAGCAGCCUCUUAGAUCUACUUCUAUAGAUCUUUAUCCCUAGGAUGAGGGAUGUUUUUUUCAAAUUUUUUAUGAAGAACAAUAAUAACAGUGAAGCCUUUAUUUUCUCUAAUGUAACGAUUGUCAUUCUCGAUUAAGAGAAUUUCAUUCACAUACAAAAUAAGAAAUACACUCAUAAAACUAUUAAUCCGUUUGUAUUUGCAGGAUUCUUCUUCGUUCUCAAUGAAAUCAUAUGUUUUGAUCAAUUAUCAAAAUACAUGUUCCAACUCUGAAAUAUUUUAGCAUUGCCACAAGAGAAAAUAUUUCAUUAUGAUCAAUACCAUAACGUUGACAAUAUCCUUAGGCAACCAGACGGACCUUGUAGGUCUCCACUUUCUCGUCUGCGCUCUCUGAUCCUAUUGAAGAUUCACUUACACCCUAUGAAUUUUAUCCUUUCGAGUGGAUCAACGAAUGUCCAUACACUAUUGACCAUUAUGGACUCUAUGGCUCCAAGCCGCUAAUCAGAGUCAAACCUCUGCAUAGCAUCCAUGUAGGUGAUUAGAUCUUUCUUGUUCUCAUCGAGUUCAACAAAAUCACAUCUCGGAUCUAGAAACCGAAGUAUCUAUCCGAUGGAUACAGUACUAUACAGGAUCUCCUUAAUGGUGCCUCUACGAUGGAUUUCUGGUUUGAGCUAAUCAAAUUCGGUUCUAUGGGUUCACUAGAUUAUGUUGGUUUUUCUAUCUAUCAAACUUCAUAAGUUCCACAUUAAAGGCAUCAAUUCUUUCACCAAAGUACUUCUUUUCUUAAAAAGAAUGCCGAACAACUCUUGUUCUUUAGUGAGAUAGAAGUAAUAUCCCUUAGAUUCUUUGGGAUUAUCCUACAAAAUAAUACAACUAGGAUUGGGAUCCAAGCUAAUCGAUUUGCAAAUGCUUGACAUAAAACAAACACUCCCAAAUCCUAAGGUAAGAGAGUAUCGGCUUACGCCUAGUCCAUAUCUGAUAUGAAGUCUUUGCGAUUGAUUAAUUCGAAAUUCAGUUGAGAACAUGACGAGUAGUCUCAAGAGCAUAACCUUAAAAGGAGACUGAUAGACUUGUAAACCCCAUCAUGGAUCAAACUAUAUCUAACAAAGUCGAUUCCAAUAAGCAAGAAUCCUAUUCUCUUUUAGACAUGUCAAAAACUCACUGAAAAUAUAUUCUCCUCCUUGGUCUGACCAUAGAAUUUCAAUGCUCUUCUCAGUUUGUUUUUCUACUUUAUUAUGAAAUUAUUUAAAUAUUUUAAAUAAUCCAAAUUUAUAGUAAAUAUGUUCAUAAAUCCAAUAUAUCACUAUAUAUCAAACUCAGAACAUCAUUAGCUCGAUCAUCUCUUCCAGCAAAAGGCGACCUGUUCAUCUAAGGAGAUAGGAUUGAUAGACUGACAAUGGUUCACAAUCACUGACUUCAAGAAUUAUCUUUUGUGGAUUCUAUUCUUGUUUAUAUGAUCGAGCCUAAAUUACCAAAGCUAGGCUUUUGUGACAUUAUCUACUCUAAGGAGUUUGUUUGUUGUGUACAGUACNN
rnacentral:lncRNA from 1 species